UACCAGCACCCCGAGUGGUCGGGACGUUUAUUGGGCCUAAAGCAUCCGUAGCUGGUUCUACAAGUCUUCCGUUAAAUCCACCUGCUUAACAGAUGGGCUGCGGAAGAUACUAUAGAGCUAGGAGGCGGGAGAGGCAAGCGGUACUCGAUGGGUAGGGGUAAAAUCCGUUGAUCCAUUGAAGACCACCAGUGGCGAAGGCGGCUUGCCAGAACGCGCUCGACGGUGAGGGAUGAAAGCUGGGGGAGCAAACCGG
rnacentral:rRNA from 1 species